CCUCAUUCGCCUGACUUCUAUGGGGAGCUGGAGCUUCACAGCUCCAAGGCUCAGCAGGUUGUCCUACUGGGCCAUGUCUCCACCUCAGCUUCUCAAAGCCUGGUCCAGUUGGAGGGAAAUGUGAACAACAGGGAGGAGAAAAUGAGGCUGUCCGUGUCCCGGGCCCCAGGCUGUCUCCAGGCCUCUGUGUCCCAUGAGGAGGGGGGACAGAGAAGAGUGUGGCGUGUGCCCAUGGGCAGACAGUGGAGGCAGAGGUCCCAUUCCAGGAUGGCAGGCAGCUUUUCCAGCCCCUGGGAUGCCUCACCCUGCAGACUGCCAACAAGAGCCUCCUUCUGGCUGUGCACAGCUUCCAGGGGUGCCUGCUGGGCCAUGUGGAGGUGAGAGGGCCUGGGCUGGGACACAGGGAAGGGGUUACUAUUCUCUCCCUGGGCAGAGGCCACAGUGCCAGGAGCUCCAAGCCCUUGGGGUCCAUCUGUGCCCAGAAACCAGAGCAGAUGGCCCCAGGGUGAGGCCGACACCUGCCACUGGCACUGAGACCUUUUGUCUAUUUCAUUCCUACAUGGCCCCGAGGGAGUCCCAGCCUCUUCUCCGUCCUCACAGUCCAGGAUUGCAGCAGUUGGCUCCCAGGUGCAAGCCUGGCUGGAAGAGAAGUUUCAAGGCUUGGGUGCCUCUGUGAGAAGGUUCCAGCACCUGGUACAGCCAGCAGGCACCCUGGAUGGUGUGGCAGGCCUCCUCCUACAGCUGUCCCAGGCAGGGCUGGAGGCCAUGAAGGUGAGCGAUCGGGCCAUAGCCACCUUGUGGGGCCAGAGCCAGGCCAGGCAGGCACUGACCCAGCACCUGCCUCUACCUGGACCGGCUGCAGGUGGGGCUGGAGCAGCUGCGGAAUGAGCUGGAAUGUGAGUGUGGGAGGAAGUGCUCAACCCUGCACCAAAAUCCAGGCCCAGCCCGGGGCCCUCAGCCCUCACGUUGGCCUAUGGCCGUUUCAAUCAGAACAGUGGCUUUGCUUCCCGCAGGCCUACAGCCCAGCUGAGACCCCCGCCUUACUUCUUACAGACCUACAGCCUUGGGUUUUUUUUUGUUUUUUUGUUUUUUUGUUUUGAGAUGGAGUCUCACUCUGUUGCCCAGGCUGGAGUGCUAUGGCAUGAAUUUGGCUCACUGCAACCUCUGCCUCCCGGGUUCAAGCAAUUCCCCUGUCUCAGCCUCCCAAGUAGCUGGGACUACAGGCACGUGCCACCACGCCCAGCUAAUUUUUCUAUUUUUAGUAGAGAUGGGGUUUCACCAUGUUGGCCAGGAUGGUCUUGAUCUCUUGACCUUGUGAUCUGCCCACCUUAGCCUCCCAAAGUGCUUGGAUUACAGGUGUGAGCCACUGCGCCUGGCCCAACCUUCGUUUUUUUCGUGGUCUGCUGUCUCAUUCUUACAGAGUCUCCAAGCUAAUAUCUCUUAUGCCUGCCGCCUAGGUUUCUUCAGUCUUCCGCCUGCUUUGAGUAUACAGCCUUGUUUCUGUGAAGUUCACUGCCAUAGGGUCUCUUUUUGGCUCCACGAUGAGCUGUCUGUGGCCAUGUGGUUGUUAAACGCUCACAGCUGCUACCCCAACCGCCCUCCUGUCAGGACUAGGAACUUCUGGCCUCUCCACCAUCCAGGGCUAAUGCCCGGCCCAGCACAGAGCCCCCAAGACCCUGCCCAGCGCCAGUGUGGGCGUUCCUCUGACUGGCUGUUGAAUGUCACCUCCGCAUUCUCUCUGCUGUGCCAGAGUCCCAUGGCCACCCACAGGGCAGUGAAUUUGAAAGAGUGCUCCAGGACUCGGCACACUGUGCUGUUCGCGGCUGUGAUUAACUACAGUGAGAGAAGGCAGGAGUGUCAGCGCAGGGAAGGGGGCCGGGGCGGAGUCCAGGGGGAACCAGGGCCAGCACCCAGUGUCCUCUCCCAGUCCCUGCACCUUCACAUGGGAUGCACUUGGCUGUCCCAGCACUAUGUCACCCAGGGUGUUUAGUAGGGCCUGCCACAUUGGCAGGUGCUGCUUGGCGCGGACCACACUGUCAGACUCCUAGGAGGCAAGCAGUGGUCCAGCAUAAACCACGUUUGUGCAAACAGUUCAGGUGCAGAGAGCCUCGUAUCACUUCGAGGAGUGGUGGGAACCCUCCCCCAAUCCAAGUUCCCAGACAACCUAUGAGCAGGCCUUGCAGAGGCGGCUCAGGCCUGCUGUGACAACUCACCUGCAAUCUCCAGUGCCUGCUGCUCUAUUCCUUUUCCCCCACUCCCCCCACCAUCUUAAUCCCAGGAACAGGCCCUAUCUCCUCGAGGCCUGGGCUGGGUCUCUGAGCUGCCCAGAGGCCUCGUGGUGGGUGGUGGCUGCCCGUUGCAGGGCCCCUGGCCACACUGAAGGACGCCUACCUGGAGGUGACGCUGCGGGCCCUGGAGGAGGUGUGGCAGGAGCGGGCAGAGAAGCCAUGUGGCAGCUGCAGUCCUGGGUGCCCGGGAUGCCAGGCAAUGGGUGUCCCAGGCCCAUCAGGGUGGCCCUGGGGGCCGUGAAAGGCGCCCUGGAGCUGGUGAGUGAGAGAAAGGAUGGGGCGUGGCUGGCAGUUGAGGAUAACCGAGACAGCUCUCACUGUCCCCUUCCUCUCCAGGUUGCCCACCCGAUGCUGUCCUGGGCUGAAGCCACGUUCUCAUGGGCACUGAAGAGGCUCUGCAAACCCCUGCUGGACCUGUGUAUCCUCACAGCCAGGUAACGCAGGGUUGAGAGUGGCGCAUCCGGCGUUCCUGCCACGUAUCAGGCGCAAUGCUGAAU
rnacentral:lncRNA from 1 species